GACGAACGCUGGCGGCGUGCUUAACACAUGCAAGUCGAACGGAAAGGCCCUGCUUUUGUGGGGUGCUCGAUUGGCGAACGGGUGAGUAACACGUGUGUAACCUGCCCCUGACUUUGGGAUAACUUCAGGAAACUGGGGCUAAUACCGGAUAGGAUCUCCUGCUGCAUGGUGGGGGUUGGAAAGUUUCGGUUGUUGGGGCUGGACUCGCUGGUUAUCAGCUUGUUGGUGUGGUAGUGGCUUACCAAGGGUUUGAGGGGUAGCCGGCAUGAGAGGGUGAACGGGCACCAUGGGACUAAGAUACGGCGCAGUAUGCUACGGGAGGCAGUGGGGGAGAACAUGACGCAGUGAGCGGAAGCCUGAGGCGGAGGCGCCGGGAGCGGAAUGACGGCCUUUGGGGUGUAAACAGAUUUCGAAUGUAACGAAGAGUGAGUGACGGUAAUGGGUCAAGAAGCACCGGCUAACUACGUG
rnacentral:rRNA from 1 species